CAUGGCUUGAAGUACUGACUGCACUGAGGGUGAUUAGUUAGUUUGGUUGGGAACUUCGUCUCAGUUGUAAAAAGAUUAAGUAACAAUUUGCAGCAGCCAAUCGAUUUCUCUGUUGCAUGCAAGACAAGUUGAAGAGAGAUCCUGAAAUAACACAAAAUUAGGGCUGUCAGUUUGUAAAUGAUGUUACCUUGAAUGGCGUGUUGGAACAUCAGAGAUUUUCCUUCUGUUGGAGAGUAUACAGAGAAAUAGUCAGAGAAUUGAUUUGGUUUGGUACUUUUCGGAGAAGGGUUUUGUUAAAUAUUUUGCAUCAGACAUCUGCCAGCUAAAUUAUAGUCCCCAAAAAUACGUGAACAACAUGACAACUGUUCAUACAUUUUUAGGGAAGGAACGGCCUCUAUACAGUUUAAUUAACCCUAAACAGACUGGAGGGGGGGGGGGCGUUUGGCGCCCCCAUGUAUUUUUUUUGUCCUAGCACUUUCAUUUUUGACACCUUGAAUUUAUUUUACUUUUGAUGAAUAGUAAUUUAAAGGAUUUUUUUCUAAUUUAUAGGGUAGGAUAUAAGGUGAAAAAGUCUGGUCUGUGAAAAAAAAAAUCUAAAAGAACCUGGUUUAUCUUUAAAAACGAGUAAAGAAAUUGUAG
rnacentral:lncRNA from 1 species